rnacentral:rRNA from 1 species
UGGGUGAUCUGCCCUGCACUUUGGGAUAAGCCUGGGAAACUGGGUCUAAUACCGGAUAUACCCUGCCGGUCGCAUGGCCUGGUGGGGGAAAGCUUUUGUGGUUUUGGAUGGACUCGCGGCCUAUCAGCUUGUUGGUGAGGUAAUGGCUCACCAAGGCGACGACGGGUAGCCGGCCUGAGAGGGUGACCGGCCACACUGGGACUGAGACACGGCCCAGACUCCUACGGGAGGCA